rnacentral:rRNA from 1 species
GACGAAGGGGGCUAGCGUUGUUCGGAAUUACUGGGCGUAAAGGGCGCGUAGGCGGCUUACCAAGUCAGGCGUGAAAUUCCCGGGCUCAACCUGGGGGCUGCGCUUGAUACUGGUGAGCUUGAAUGCGGGAGAGGAUAGUGGAAUUCCCAGUGUAGAGGUGAAAUUCGUAGAUAUUGGGAAGAACACCGGUGGCGAAGGCGGCUAUCUGGCCCGUUAUUGACGCUGAGGCGCGAAAGCGUGGGGGAGCAAACAGG